AGAAGGUUAAGCCUCUUAAAUUAUCUGGUAGUUAAAUUAAAUAAUAUUGGAUUGCAAAUCUAAA
rnacentral:tRNA from 1 species